UAGGCAAAAUGGUGCCGUAACUUCGGGAGAAGGCACGCUGACACGUAGGUGAAGUGAUUUACUCAUGGAGCUGAAGUCAGUCGAAGAUACCAGCUGGCUGCAACUGUUUAUUAAAAACACAAGCACUGUGCAAACACGAAAGUGGACGUAUACGGUGUGACGCCUGCCCGGUGCCGGAAGGUUAAUUGAUGGGGUCAGCGCAAGCGAAGCUCCUGAUCGAAGCCCCGGUAAACGGCGGCCGU
rnacentral:rRNA from 1 species